rnacentral:rRNA from 1 species
AACGAACGCUGGCGGCGUGCCUAACACAUGCAAGUCGAACGAGAAAGGGGCUUCGGCCCCGAGUAAAGUGGCGCACGGGUGAGUAACACGUGGGUAACCUGCCUCUAAGUUUGGGAUAACCCGUCGAAAGACGAGCUAAUACCGAAUAAGACCACAGUCUCUGCGGAGACAGGGGCCAAAGGUAGCCUCUGCAUGCAAGCUAUCACUUAGAGAUGGGCCUGCGCACCAUUAGCUAGUUGGUGGGGUAACGGCCUACCAAGGCAAAGAUGGUUAGCUG